rnacentral:misc_RNA from 1 species
GAAAUGCGAUAAGUAAUGUGAAUUGCAGAAUUCAGUGAAUCAUCGAAUCUUUGAACGCACAUUGCGCCCGCCAGUAUUCUGGCGGGCAUGCCUGUCCGAGCGUCAUUUCAACCAUCAAGCCCCCGGGCUUGUGUUGGGGACCUACGGCUGCCCGCAGGCCCUGAAAACCAGUGGCGGGCUCGCUGUCACACCGAGCGUAGUAGCAAUCACCUCGCUCAGGGCGUGCUGCGGGUUCCGGCCGUUAAACAGCCUUACAAAACCCAAGGUUGACCUCGGAUCAGGUAGGAAGACCCGCUGAACUUAAGC